ACAGAGAGAAAAUGACCACCAAAAAAAAAAGACAAACAACCAAAACAAAGGCUUAUUUUGUCAACUACAAGUCAAACCAGACAGCAAUGAACUUUUCUGAGUCUGCAGUGAGUGACUGGCUUCUAUCACAUGGGCAGCUAGGAGUACAGGAUGCCGAUCUUUCACAAGAUUCUGGGUCUGCCUUCCUGACUUCGAGCAAGGUUUUGAGAAUUCUUAUUUCAAAUCAAGUAUAAUAUACUGAAUGUUGUGUCCUCUUCAAAUGUAUGUGUGAAAACAUAAAUCAUCAAUGUGAUUGGAUUUGUGGAUAAAGUGUAUAGAAGGAAAUCAAGUCACAAGAUAGGGUCUUCAUGAUGGAGACUGAGACCUAAGAAUGAAUCUCCUAGCUCCCUUCGGCCAUGCAAGAACACAAUAAGGUGUCAGUCUGCAAUGGAAGCAGGCCCUUGCGAUGCACUGAAUCUACUGGUGCCUUGGUCUUGGACUGCCCACCCUUCAGUAUGUCGAGAAGUAAAUAUUUGUAGUUCAUAAACCCCACUCCCAGUCUAUGGCGUGGGCUCUGCUCAUUUGAUUUGUGCUAACCUGAAUGGACUAAGGCUUCAUGGAGUGGUAUAAAGAGCAACUUGGAAAGUAUCAGUCUAUAACAAGUCAAUAAGACAAAGACAAAACUGAUCUUCUCAGAAUAAAGAAGAAAUGGACAUUUGAGAGUAAGAGGAGGAAAAUAUUGGAGCCAAGGAUCACUUUAGAAGAUUAGAUGCUGGAGACGCAGGCAGGUAGAAAUUUUGAGUGACAGAACACCAGAAGACAUCUAAGGAAAGGCUUAUCCUCUUUGAAGUCUCUGGGGAAAGGGACAAAAACAGUUCCCUCCACCACUACAAAACAUGGCAGCUGGGCUGCACCUGCAGUUUCAUAUCCACCACACUUCAGAAGGAGAGAAUGAAUGAGUUUGUUGUAUUCAUAAGAGAUUAAACGAAGGAGGUACCUAUGACAGAACACAGAGAGCGUGCAAAGCAAGCCAGACAAAUUGUUAAAUAGAAAGCUCACAGCUCCCAGGGAUCAUGUAAUGACACCCUUCCUCUCACAGCAUUCCCCCUUGGGAGGACAUUUCAAGAAGACUGUAAAACUUGUACGGUAGAGGUAAAUCUCCAUUUGCAAUCUUGAAAGCUAGGGUUGAUUGCCUACUGCAUCUAGGAUGACAAUUUACAAUGUUAUUCAGAGACUAGCUAAGUGACAGGAAUAAGUUACAAGCUUGGAGGUCCUGGGGAGAGACUUUCACAGAAGCAUGCUGUCUGUUGGCCUUUCUAUUACAGUAAAAGCUCACACAAACUGGAACCUUGCCUCCUUUUCUGCUUUGCUUAGGUCCUGAAUACUGUAGAAUCAGGUCACUGUUCCAGCCUUAAGAAGACAAAUUCUGCAUCCCUGUCCUUGAGCUCAAAGAAAUAAAUCAUCAAGUCUUCACUUGUAUUGACAUGUGUACUUUCUUGGUAGCAGUUUGGCUUUUAUACUUGGUUUCUAGAUCUGACCAGAAAGAAUCUCUUGGAGUCAAUAUUUAUUCUUGUCUCCUUGGGCCCCAGUGCUUGUUUAACCCAUACAGUAUCUGCUUCCUAAAUUGUUCUGGACCAAAGCGAGCCUGGGAUCCCCAGUUUUGCUCUCCCAGCUGGUGCGAUUGAAAGGAUUCCGAUUGUUAGUGAAUUCACUAUCCAGGGAAACUGGAACGGACCCAGGUUACCAACGUGCCCAUUGCUCCUUGGAUACCAGUUAGCAUCGUCUCUGUGUUCAUACAUUCCUUUCAGAAUAAAGUUGUCCUAUACCUUCCACAGUU